CGCUGAAUUUAAGCAUAUAAGUAAGCGGUGGAAAAUGAACCAAAUGGGAUUCCUUAAGUAAUUGCGAAUGAACAAGGAAUUGCUCAGCUUGAAAAUUGGGGCCUUCGGCCUUGAAUUGUAAUUUUGAAAUGUAUUGCCAAUGGAGGCGCAGGUGCAAGCCUAUUGAAAGAAAGCGUCAAUGAGGGUGAGAUUCCUUUUUGUCAUUUGCAGUCCUCCGUGCACGGUGUAUAUUUGACGAGUCACACUCCUCGGCAUUGGAAUGCAAAGUGGGUGGUAAAUUCCAUGUAAAGGAAAAUAUAUUAUUGAGACUGAUAGCAAACAAGUACCAUGAGGGAAAUAUGAAAAGGACUUUGAAAAGAGAAUUAAAAGAGUCUGCAUUUGCUGAACAGAAAGCAAACAGAAUUGAUCUACUUGGUGAGAUUGUUGCGUCCACUUGUGGGYGCAAUGGUUCUUGCCUUGGAUGUCAGCGUCUAUUUCUGCAAAUCAUUACCCUUGCACAUGAAUGGUAAUUUGCCUGUGGGCAUUGGAAUGCAUGUGUUUGCAAUGAUUUGUGUUUUGAUACAUGUGUCUGGCGUUCGUGUGUGUGCCUUCUUGCCAACAGGGGAGGGCUCUCCUCCCUGGGCACUGCAAGCCCUUGCACAGUGUUGCUGGCAAAAUGUUUCUGCUUGACCCGUCUUGAAACACGGACCAA
rnacentral:rRNA from 1 species